rnacentral:rRNA from 1 species
UACGGGGGGGGUAAGCGUUGUUCGGAAUUACUGGGCGUAAAGGGCUCGUAGGCGGCCAACUAAGUCAGACGUGAAAUCCCUCAGCUUAACUGGGGAACUGCGUCUGAUACUGGAUGGCUUGGAUCCGGGAGAGGGAUGCGGAAUUCCAGGUGUAGCGGUGAAAUGCGUAGAUAUCGGGAGGAACACCAGCGGCGAAGGCGGGCAUCUGGGCUAACACUGACGCUGAGGCGCGAAAGCUAGGGGAGCAAACAGG